UAUUUGCUGUAAUAUUCAUGUUUUGGGUAUCUCAAAGUGUGUUACCGAAAUAGGUGCACCUUAAAUUGUCAUCAUAGUUUAAUGUUUAUCAUUGGUCAUUAGGGUGUUAUGCUACAGUGAUUACUUUUCAAUAAGAGCCUUAAUUUAACGAUCAAAGAACUCAUGUUUAGAACUCAUGGCUGAGCGCUACCAGAACAUACCAGGAGCAGCACAAAUACCCGCCACUCCAACAUGUCAAACCUCAAGCCAAAUUAUGCAUACUCCUCACUCCAUUCCAUUUUCACUCUGCAAACAUACUCUGGCAGUGAGAAAUAUUGUUCAGUUGGCCUGUCACCAUCAAUGUUCUAUUCGCCUUAUUCACCUACGUCACCCUCUUAAAACCAAAAUGAGGCUGAGGAGUACGGAAAUAGCAUUGGACCACUGGAUACCAGCAAUGUCGACUCACUUCUGCCUUCCCAAAUGUACCUUUUCCAAAAGAAAGACAUCUUUUAAAGGUCAAACCUUCCAUUGUUUCUCAAAAGAUCCUGUACUUUGCUGUGAAUAUAUUCAAAAAUAAGAAGAGAUCCUGGUCGCCAUUUCAAGGUAAGAUGUAAGCCUAAAUAGCUACGUCUUGAUUAACCCGAAACUGUCCUCUCGUUUUAACAUACAUCAUUAGUAACUAUAAAACAGUAAAAUACAUUUUAUAUCCAACAUUACAGAUCCACGUGGACACAAAAGUAUGUUUAGAUCACUUCACAUAAGAGUCUUUCUUGAAGACACUGGCUGGCAUGUGAAAGUUGAAGAAGGGUGUCGUGCCAACUUUGUUUGCCUGGACUACAAGUCAUGCAACCACUGCCGUUGGUGAAGAAGAAGUCCUGCAGGUUGAUUUGAAUUCCAAUGAGUUGAGUGAAAAGACCCUCCACACCCUGAUCAUGAUUAUGCUGAAUUGCCACUGGAGCAAAUUGAGGACGCCCACAAGACCAUCAACGAUUAAGCAGAAUUAAUAGCACUGCUUCAAGACAAGCAGUUUCUCCUUUCAAGAUUCCAGGGCGACGAUAUGAACUUGUUUUACGCAGGCUUUCCAGAUUACAACACAAAGCAGUGUUUAGAGCCCUACAGCCUACUGCAGAAAACAUGGUAGGGUGGAGUCAAGCACAGUGACUAAGGCAAGCUGAUGUGGAAAUUCUAUGGCAGGGGUUUAGCAAUCCUUUUUAUUUUUCCUUUUUAUUUGUCAUCUGAAGCAAGGUUUUCCUGAACAGGACCUUGCAGUGCGCUUCGAUGUGUCACUCAACUGUAACCUGGACAAGCUUCCUACAUUUCAUGUUAGGAUCACUUCCAAUUUGGCCUUCGAGAGAAACGAACAUAUCCCUCCUUGUUUCUAAAGCACUUUCCCACUUACAAGAGUUAUAUUAGACUGUAUGGAAAUACAUGUGCACACACCUAGCUCAAAACUCUGAAAUAUACUCUCACUACAAAGGUAAUACCACCUUUAAGAGCCUAAUUGGUAUCUCUCCAUCAGGUGAAGUGACAUUUGUCAGUGACCUGUAUACAGGUUCGAUAUCUGACAAGGAGAUAAGAGAAUCAGGGAUCCUAUCUUUACUUGAGGAAGGCGAUGAGGUCAUGGCUAAUAAAGGCUUUCUCAUCAAGGACCUUCUUUCAGAAAUGUCUCCCUGGUGAUCCCACACUUUUUAGGCCCAAGUGAACAUUUCAGCCCAGAAGAGGUUAGACAGACACAAGCAAUAGCCAGACUUCGCAUUCAUGUCGAGCGUGCCAUUAGGAGGAUCAACGAGUAUUACAUAUUUGAUAGUCUUACCAAUGACACUAGUGGGCUCUAAAUUAACUGUUUUUGCCCUCUUAUAUAUCUUCCAAGGCCCUCUGUUCUUAAGAACAGUUCUCUUUAUGGAAAGGUUUGAUAAAAUAUAAAUUACACUGAA